CCUACGGGAGGCAGCAGCCGAGAAUCUUCCGCAAUGGGCGAAAGCCUGACGGAGCGACACCGCGUGUAGGAUGAAGGCCCUCGGGUUGUAAACUACUGUCAAGUGGGAAAAGAUUCAUUGCAACUAAUAAGUGCAGUGAUUGAUUGUACCGCUAGAGGAAGCCACGGCUAACUCUGUGCCAGCAGCCGCGGUAAUA
rnacentral:rRNA from 1 species